rnacentral:rRNA from 1 species
GACGAACGCUGGCGGCGUGCUUAACACAUGCAAGUAGAACGGAAAGGCCCUGCUUUUGUGGGGUGCUCGAGUGGCGAACGGGUGAGUAACACGUGAGUAACCUGCCCUUGACUUUGGGAUAACUUCAGGAAACUGGGGCUAAUACCGGAUAGGAGCUCCUGCUGCAUGGGGGGGGUUGGAAAGUUUCGGCGGUUGGGGAUGGACUCGCGGCUUAUCAGCUGGUUGGUGGGGUAGUGGCUUACCAAGGCUUUGACGGGUAGCCGGCCUGAGAGGGUGACCGGCCACAUUGGGACUGAGAUACGGCCCAGACUCCUACGGGAGGCAGCAGUGGGGAAUAUUGCACAAUGGGCGGAAGCCUGAUGCAGCAACGCCGCGUGCGGGAUGACGGCCUUCGGGUUGUAAACCGCUUUCGCCUGUGACGAAGCGUGAGUGACGGUAAUGGGUAAAGAAGCACCGGCUAACUACGUG